UGACCAAAUGGGGGUACAGGCUGGUGCUGU
rnacentral:piRNA from 1 species